rnacentral:rRNA from 1 species
UACGAGGGGGGCAAAUGUUGUUCGGAAUCACUGGGCGUAAAGGGAGCGUAGGCGGGUUUCUAAGUCAGGUGUUUAAUCCCGGGGCCCAACCCCGGACAGGCACUUGAAACUGGCAAGCUUGAGUGUGGCAGAGGGGGGGUGGAAUUCCGACGUGUAGCAGUGAAAUGCGUAGAGAUGUGGAGGAACACCGAUGGCGAAGGCAGCCCCCCUGGGCUAACACUGACGCUCAUGCACGAAAGCGUGGGGAGCAAACAGG